GCUUUUACUUUUUUACACCUCUGCGCCGGUGAGGAGAGGGGGCUACGCGGCGGCGGGGGGCAGGGGGGACGAGGCGGAGGCGAGGGUCGGAGAGGGGGAGCCGCAAGCGCGGAGGCCUAGCUUCGGGUGCUGCCGCCGCAAGGGUCUAGCCGUUUCGCGGUGGGGUAGCCUAGCAGCAGUGACGACUGCCGGCGGAGGAGCAGUUCCUUCGCGCCGAAGGUCGGCCGCCGCUGGUUCCGUUCCCUCCGGGCGCUUCUUCAACGAGGACGAGGGCGCCGGCUGCCGCCGGCACUGCUUCGACGAGGACGAGGUCUCCCCGCGGAGACGGGGGCGCACAAGGUGGCCCUCUCCUCCUCUCCUAGGAGGCGCACUAGAAGAAGAAGAGCCGGCUGCUACGUAGGAGGAGGAGGCGGCGCAGUACCCGCGAGUGGUGCCUUCGUGUUCAGACGGGAUGUACUACGGACCGUCCGAUUGGAUCGUCCUACGUACACGUUGUCUGACUUUGUUCGUCGGAUGUGACAGGAGUUUAGGGGACAAAGAAGAAAGUGUCGAGACGAGAGGUUGUCGAACGUGCCGAGGUAGUGGCGGCUCUAGUAGUUGACGUUGUUCGGCUGUCGUUAAAUACGCACGGUGGUCAUACGGUAGAUGAAGAAAAAUACGAUGAAGUAACCCGAAAAUAGACUCGGUUGAGAUGGACGACUCUAAUAAUAACCACACCCGUUGGUGGUCAUGCACAUACUCGUCGAAUUCGGACGGGGGUCGCGGCCUCUGCGACGGCCGCGUGGCUGCCGCCUCGGGUCGGCCGUGCCGAAGACCCGUACCUUCCUCUCCAAGCAGUAGUGGAUGUUGGGAGGGCUGAAGCCUCUGCUGCUCCAGCGCCGGCACCUGCGGCUGCUCACGUCGUCCACGCCGAAAGAGACACACCCCAGAGACCGGCCCAAGGAGCAGAAAGAGCCGAGGGACGAAGAGGACGAGAAGAAGGUAGUCGGCAGGGUUAGGCGGUAACCUAGCCACCAGAUGCACCGGUGCGCGCAGGAGCGGUACCGCCCGUACGAACAGCCCAAAACGAGCCGGCCGGAGAAAGAACUGGAAACGCUGUCCUACCUAUUCCCACUAUUUGUACGUCUCGCGGCGGGCGGGGUCGGGUAUGACCGCCGGCGGCGAGGCCGAGGCAGCCGGUGGGUUCGAGACGCGAAGGGGCGGUGGGGACGGCGACGGGACGUCACCCCGAAGGGACGACGACGGUGGCAGCAACGAGGCAGGGGUCUAGAUCUAGCCCUCGACGUCUGGGGUGGGGGAGGCGGCGGCCCCGCCGGCCAGUCCGGACGACUGCUGCACCUAAAGCAGGGGCUCUGCGGCGGGCUCGAGGACGCGCGGCGCCGAAGGCGAAGACCGCCGCGCCAGGGUAAGUUACGCCCGCUACCGCACGGCACGCCCCCGCCGUAAUUGAGACCGGACGGGCGCCCGCCCACCAACCGGACGAAGUUCUCCCACCUCCCGCUCCGCGUAAGUUGCGCGCGCGGACGAGGCGUCAGGCUGCUCCCCGAGCUCCCUCCUACCCAGUGGCAGCCCAGUUUAGCCGGCGCGGCUCGAGCGGUUGGUACCACAAUGGCGGGAGCGGGACGAGGUUCGCACCGCUUGAGCUCCCGCGACGAGAGCGAAGGUCUUAGCGACAAGUGCUGCGGGUCCGCAUGCGGGGGGGACUACGGGCCCCGACGAUACCACCUCUCGAGUUAAGGUUGCCCUAACCUCCGAGACAAAGUCGGUUCCGUCGUCGGAGACGAAGGGAGCGGCCGAAGGAGGGGUCAGUUCCGGGGUUGCGCGUCCGCGUUCUGGGACCGACCGUACGUGUAGUGGUGGUUACCACCCAAGAGCGACUCCGCGUUGUCACGCGCCUAGUACCGAGCGCCGCGACCGAAACGGUGACGGUACCGGUUCCUUCGCGUCCCCGACGAGACGGCGAGCUAACCGUAACAUGUUCUGCCCCUUCUAUAGUGUCUGUUCUGCGACUUCCGUAAGCUUCUGGUCAAGUUCCUCGUUGAGGGUCUCCGCCAGUACCGUCGGAACGCUCCGAACAAGUUUCAACUACUACAACAACGACCUCUCCACCUCCUCCGGGAUUAGUUGGUGCCCCCACUCCGACGCUAACUGGUACUCCGGUGCCGUUGCCGCGGCAGACGGAUC
rnacentral:rRNA from 1 species